rnacentral:lncRNA from 1 species
AUAAAUUAAAACAGAGAAACAACAUAAUAGUCAUCAUAUGCAUGCAUCAUAAUCGAUCAUGUCAAGUUAAUAUAAACCAGAAUAAUGUGUCUCUCAUAAGACCUAGUCCUCGCUCUUAGGUAUAUGUCAUAAAACAGAAUAACACCCAUGUCUCCAUGAUGAAGCACAGAGAUCCAACGGUCUCCAACUUGUGGCUUGCGAU